CCCAGACGUCUUCUCUCUCUGCAGAGCCACAGUCGGAGUCAGCCAGGAGCAAGAUGUGGACAGGGGUGGCGGGGAUUGUGCUGGGGCUGGUCUUUCUGGCUCCCGGCCUCGUCCUCUACCUGAAGAAUAAGAAAGGUCAAAGAGUUAUUCCUCAGCCACCAGGUAACUUCCCCUUUCUCUUGUCCUUUAAAACUACAGGUGGUGUUUUGGGCGCUAAAAGGGGGGAGGCACUUCAACUGCCCCUCCAGAUGUCCCCCCCUUUCAGAUGGGCUUCCAGAGUCUUCCAAAGGCGGGUCUCCCUUUCUAGAGAGAGUCAGGCGGAGAGAGGGAGGUGGGAAGGGGGCCCUUUCCAGGGAGGUUCCCCACUCUUUGGGUCCAAAUGCCAAGUCCACGUCUUUGGUACCAAGACAAGUUCCCAAGCUCAAAAAUCCAAGUUCCUUUUAAAAAUAAGCUCUCUCCCCCCCCGAGAAAACGGAGGGGUGUGUGGCUUCCAAGUCAUGAGUCAGGUCUCAGUCAAGUCCAACCUGACAUCUCAGCAUCCUGCGAAGGGAGGACCCUUCCUGCCCUCUUGCCUGGAUAAGUCCCUUGGCAGGAGAGAGAUGAUCCUCUCCGGAAAACACUUCCCAUCCCAUAAAUGUUGUGUCAAUUAUUUACAUCUGGCCUAAACAUGAUAUAUUUACUCUUGACAUGUGUUGUCAACAAGGAGCUUGCUAGGGUCAUUUCCAAAACCGACAUAAAAUCUUUGUCCCACCACAGUGCUUGUAAAGUGAAAGACAACGCUUUUUUCCGUAUGUAUUGUGUGUGUGUUUGUGCAUGCAUGCACGGAAAAAUACUUCUCUUUCUCCUAUAUGUAUUCACUAAAACAUGUAAGGAAUUAUUUCCAGCAUUUCCUGCCAAAAGACAACAUACCUUUAAGUCAACACAUUCUAAUGCCUACGGCUAAAUUAUUUCAGAUUAAAAUGGACUGUUGUUUCUGCUCAGAGCCUGAAAUUCCAAAAGGGGUCCCUUUUCCUCUGAGCGUUUCUUCCUUUUGAAAAGCUUGUCACACAUCCUCAUGAAAGAUGGGAGGCCUGUGGCCUUAAUGAGACCAGGAGGGACUAAAACUUGAUGUCCUUGUUGUGUGUUUCAAAGGGAUGAAUCGGUCAAUCUUUAGGACUUUCAGUGUAGAGGAUUCAAUGAACCUUAACUGUUUAAUCUCUUUCUCUCUUCUUCCCUCCUUGUUUUCUCUCUCUCUCCUCCAUCUGCAGUGGCGCUCCUGCAUUAGACCUCCCUGCCUUCCUGAGAUCCCAUCAUAGAGCUGAGCUUUUAUUUCUCCUCUUGUUGGCCUGCCUUUCCUCGCUGGAAUGCUGGAAACUCUGGAAAAAGAGCAGCACAGAUACAGAAACUGCCUGCUAAUUUUUUUGUCCUCCACUCUUGGGCAGGGGAGAUUUAGAGGAAGAAGGAAACC
rnacentral:lncRNA from 1 species